rnacentral:lncRNA from 1 species
UGGUAUAAAAAUGGGCCAACUACUCCCUCCGACCAUUUCUACUUGUUCUUUCCAAUUUUACACAUCCGUUUAAAAAGUAAUAAUUGAUACCAGUAUUUUACACAAAUGGUGAAGGCCUUUUGAAAAAAAUCUCUCUAUCUUCCCGAGGUAGUAAUAACACCUGCGUACACUCUAUCCCUUCCCUGACUUCAGUUUAUGGGCUUUCAAUGAAUAUGUUAUUAUUAUUGUUAAUAUGCUCAAUUCAUAAUAUUUGUAAUAAGUUUUAUAAAUUAGUUAACCAAAAAUAAUAAAUGAAGAUAAUUGUACUUUCCAAUAGUUCUUGUUCUUGAUAAGAACAAAAGAAAUUUAAUAAGAAGGGC